GCUUAUACUCGACCGUCAGCGGCACGUGCGAUCGCGCGUUUCGGCGCGCGAUCACGAAGCCCUGACGAGUAGGAGGGUCGCGGCGGUGAGCGCAGAAGGGCUGGCCGCGAGGCCGUCUGGAGCCGCCGUCGGUGCAGAUCUUGGUGGUAGUAGCAAAUACUCCAGCGAGGCCCUGGAGGACUGACGUGGAGAAGGGUUUCGUGUGAACAGCCGUUGCACACGAGUCAGUCGAUCCUAAGCCCUAGGCGAAAGCCGAUGUCGAUGCGGUGUGGAUUUAUUUUUGAAGACGACGACGACGACGAAGUCGACGACGACGACGACGACGGAGAGCGAAACAAAUAUUAAUUCGUUCCGCGUACGUGUACGUUAACGACGACGACGACGACGACGACGUAUCGUCGCAACAAAAGCCGAUCGAACACACCCAUCGGGCGAAAGGGAAUCCGGUUCCUAUUCCGGAACCUGGCAGCGGAACCGUCAAAAAGUCGGGC
rnacentral:rRNA from 1 species